AGAUGGAAGUGUUAAUGAGACUAUUGUUUAGCUCAGAAUAAACAACACUUAACACGUAUCCACAUUGGUGGUGAUUCAUCUAAUUCAACCCUUUUAAAAUGGAUUUUAAAUAACAAGACUCAAAAUGAUGCCAAAACACUUUUAUUGCAAAAAUUACAAGAUAAUUACAGAACAGAAAAUAAGAAAAAUGCACCUUAAUUACAAAAUAUCUGUAAACAUACUGCUGGCCAUCUACAGCCAAAGUUUGAUUGGAGUGUAAACCUGAUCGUCAGAGUGUCUCUGGCCUAAUGGGUUAUGCUACAGACCACCAGACAUCAUGCAAACAGACACACACACACACACACACACACACACACACACACACACACACACACACACACACACACACACACACACACACACACACACACACACACACACACACACACACACGCACAA